AAACAACUGAAAUAGUGAUGCUUUUUGCAAGGAAGUGGAAAUCAUGUCAAAACUCUUGAGACCUGGGAAACAAAAUGUUAAACGUCUUACAGCAUUGAAGGCAAGACAAAAGGAAAUACAUUCAGCCCAAUCCUUAGCUCUGCUGCAUUACAGAAGGUGCAGGUUACUGUAAGUGCCUUCUCUGUUAAUUACUGUGACAGGUCUAUUUGUAAUGGGGUCCUCUUUUGUUGCUCCAGCAGCUGGGCAUUAGUCAGGUCAUGUGUGGCUGUGAGUGACAGCUGAUGCCUGCAUGAGGAGCAGCUGAACCACAGAAGGGCAAUGUUGGGUGCUUCAGUUGGCAUGUAGAUCAUGUCUGUCUUACUUGUUACGGCAAAUGUGACGUGUCCUCCUCAUUCUGCGCCCUGCUGCAUCAUGCUGCCUAUGCUCACUCAUUUUCAUGCAGAGUGAAAGUCACAGGCAAAAAGCUCAGCAAGCUGACACCUAACUCAAGUUUAGAUCUGAUGUGACAGAAACUUCCUGUUGUUGGUAUUGUUUCCAACUGUGAGUUCCAUUCUGCACCAUAAAUCGGGCUAAUGCCCAAUGAAAAUAAAGAUAACCCCUAUUCCAUGUUGUUCCCACUCUGAGAGAUACUGAUAGGUAUGGGAAUGCAAUAAGAGCUCAGAGUAGGAUGCAGGAGAUUCAAAGAAAAUAGAAAUACAGGACUCUUACUCAUAUGGAUCUGUAAAUAUUCACACUUAACAACUUCGUAUGUUGAAAUACACAACCAAAUGUAAUAGGAAUGAUCAUUACAUACUCAAGUAUAGAUUUCUUAACCUGUCACUUAAAUUGGUGUAGAAUAGGUAUGAGCAGAAUUUUUCACAGUGAUCAGCUAUAGUGCUUCUCACUGAAAUUGGUGGGAGACUUUUGGUUUUGGUAUUUUGUGUUUGGUUUUGGUUUGUUUGUUUGUUCGUUUCAAUUGACUGCACUGGGAGCAGUUAGGCCAUUCUGAAUGGGUUUGAAUAAUCUGCCCUGUAAGUUCGGCAUGAGAGCAGACCUGGCCUGGCUGAAAGCAUUAUUUUCAGGUAAAUUCUGUAGCAAAUUCCGCUUACUCUCCAAAACAUAUACUGGAAGAAUAUAUACAGCCAGCUCUGAAGCUGAUCAAAUGCUCAGAAAAAUCCUCUAUCAAAUAAAUCUUGCAACAAAAAGCAGCAAAACUCCUGAAACAGUCAACUUGACAAAUAGUCUUCCAUCAGCCCUGCUGUGACUCAGUGUUUGAAGGAUCAGAGGGAAAAAAGUCCAUUUUAGAAGAGAGUAUAAAAUGAAAAAUAUGAUCUGAAUGAAGCACAUUUCCAGUGCGGUUGCUAAUGCUGCCCAUAGCCAGCAGCCCAGACUGGAUAAAGACACCUCCCAGCCUUUGUUAUUCCUGAAGGAUUUUGUGGCUCUUCCUGUUGAUCUGCGGCAGGUGGCUUGGUGACUCACGCCAGGGCCUCCCAGCCAAGAGCAGGAUCUCAGGGAAACAAGGUUUUUAAACACAGAUCACUACCAAAGGACCAAAGGGCAGGAGCCUCAAAGGAUGAUGCAAAGGGUGAUGUCCAUAGAAUGCUCAUUCAAUGGAAGGAUGCCACACAGGGGUUGGCUGUGGAUCCACCAGUCAGGUGUUGCUCCUCUUGCCCCUGGUGCGUUGGUAUUCUGCUGGGGCAGUGCUAAUGUCUAGAUAGUACUUCCUGAAGCACAGCCUCCUUUUCAGUGCUUCCUCGUUUCAAGUAGCAAUCUAAUUCAAGCAGUCCUGGUUACACAUCAGGCCUAAGUAUGUCAUUAUAUGUGCGGUUUCCAGCAAUUGUAAGCUAUGUUCUGUAAAGCUUUGUUGUGCAAUGAAGGUGACAGAAAAGGGAUUUUAACCAUUGCUUUUACGUGCUUCCGAGGACAGUGAUGCUUCUUGCCUUCAGCCAGGCUAUUCCAUCAAGAGAAAGUCAAAGACAAUGUGCCUUUGUUUUAUUGAGUGCUUACUCCCUUCAUGAAUGUGAUUAGACCACUCCGUCUGGCACUGCAGCUUGUGCACUGCAUUGUCCCAGCUCUGCCAUUAUUCCUCCUUUCUUUGCCCAUCAAGAAACAAGAACAACUGGUCCAAAGGCACAACCAGCAUCCAUCUGCUAUUCCCAGUGCUCGUCGAACAUGAAAACAAAUCAUUUGCUUUGGUGUCCAAAGCACUGAAUGUCAGAACAUAACUCAGUCGAGUUGUAGGGGUUUUGCUUUUCAGCUGAACCAUGGGAAUGAGCAGCGUGCAGCCUCCUAACCUGAUGCAUGGGGACACAGAAGUUUCGUUAUUAUCAGAUCAGUCUUCAGACCGGACGUGCAUUGUAUUUCGUAUGUGUCAGAAAAUGUCUGCCAGCGGGGCUCGCCCCAAUGGCAACAACAGGAUGUCUGAAAUACAGCAAAGGACUGAAAGCUGGGGGACAGACACUGUGCAGCAACUAAAGUACUGUCUUGUGUAUGACAAGAAAGCCAUGCAGAGUCCAAGCCUGGAGGUACCAAAUGUUAGGGUGCAGGAGAUGGUGGGUGGAUGCAAAGAAGCACAAGGACAAGCACUGAGCAGAGAGAGACUAUCCUGAGACUGUGGCUCUGUGCAGCAAAGCAUCUCCCAGGUGUUGGCUUGGAGUGUGAGUUGGUCUCAGGUUCACUAUAUAUGAAUUCUGACUCAUCUGGUGCCUGUGUGCUCCCUGUCUGCCUCACAUCAAAUCCUGCAGUGCCUGUUCUUCAGCCCCACAUCUUCACUCUUGGAG
ensembl:lncRNA